rnacentral:RNase_P_RNA from 1 species
GGACGAUCGCGGGCACCAGAUGGCUAAUUACCGGUGCGUGAGGAAAGUCCGGGCUCCACAGGACAAGGGUGCCGGGCAGUUCCCGGUGAAGGCGACUUUAAGGAAAGUGCAACAGAAAAGAAAACCGCCCGCCCUUCGGGGCAGGUAAGGAUGAAAAGGCGAGGUAAGAGCUCACCGGCGACAGGGAGACCUGCCGGCCUUGUAAACCCCACCCGGAGCAACGUCGUGGAAAGGCAUAACCGUGGUCCGCGGGCCUUGAGGGGACGGCUUGAGCCAUAAGGAGACUUAUGGCCUAGACAGAUGAUCGUCGUUUACAGAACCCGGCUUACCGGCCGAGUCG